rnacentral:rRNA from 1 species
GUGCCAGCAGCCGCGGUAAUACGUAGGGGGCGAGCGUUGUCCGGAUUCAUUGGGCGUAAAGAGCUCGUAGGCGGCUUGGCAAGUCGGAUGUGAAAACUCCAGGCUCAACCUGGAGCCGCCAUUCGAUACUGCUAUGGCUAGAGUCCGGUAGGGGAGUGUGGAAUUCCCGGUGUAGCGGUGAAAUGCGCAGAUAUCGGGAGGAACACCGAUGGCGAAGGCAGCACUCUGGGCCGGCACUGACGCUGAGGAGCGAAAGCGUGGGGAGCGAACAGGAUUAGAAACCCUCGUAGUCC